UCCACAUCCACAAACAACUGUAAUCAAAUCUGUCAUCUUCCUCCAACAGAGAGAGGAGAGAGAGAGAGAGAGAGAUAAAGCUUGAGAUCGUCAUCACCAGGACUUCUGAAUUAACUCAGGAGGAACGACUCGAGUUGGCAGAAUCAAUCGUUGAGUUAAGCUGCUCCUCUCCAACAAACACAACACAUCCUCUCCAUUGACCUGACUCGUUCCUCACUCACCACAACCAGAACCAAGUUCGAACCCACAAUCCAUCUUGUUUCUCCACGGGUUCACUCCCGAAACAAUCUCGUCG
rnacentral:lncRNA from 1 species